rnacentral:rRNA from 1 species
GAUGAACGCGGGCGGCGUGCCUAAUACAUGCAAGUAGAACGCUGAAGCUUGGUGCUUGCACCGAGCGGAUGAGUUGCGAACGGGUGAGUAACGCGUAGGUAACCUGCCUCUUAGCGGGGGAUAACUAUUGGAAACGAUAGCUAAUACCGCAUAAAAGUCGACAUCGCAUGAUGUUGACUUGAAAGGUGCAAAUGCAUCACUAAGAGAUGGACCUGCGUUGUAUUAGCUAGUUGGUGAGGUAACGGCUCACCAAGGCGACGAUACAUAGCCGACCUGAGAGGGUGAUCGGCCACACUGGGACUGAGACACGGCCCAGACUCCUACGGGAGGCAGCAGUAGGGAAUCUUCGGCAAUGGGGGCAACCCUGACCGAGCAACGCCGCGUGAGUGAAGAAGGUUUUCGGAUCGUAAAGCUCUGUUGUAAGAGAAGAACGAGUGUGAGAGUGGAAAGUUCACACUGUGACGGUAACUUACCAGAAAGGGACGGCUAACUACGUGCCAGCAGCCGCGGUAAUACGUAGGUCCCGAGCGUUAUCCGGAUUUAUUGGGCGUAAAGCGAGCGCAGGCGGUUAGAUAAGUCUGAAGUUAAAGGCUGUGGCUUAACCAUAGUACGCUUUGGAAACUGUUUAACUUGAGUGCAGAAGGGGAGAGUGGAAUUCCAUGUGUAGCGGUGAAACGCGUAGAUAUAUGGAGGAACACCGGUGGCGAAAGCGGCUCUCUGGUCUGUAACUGACGCUGAGGCUCGAAAGCGUGGGGAGCAAACAGG